AUGCUCACUUAGCUAUCACAUGGAUUAAAAUUGGUAUGAAGAGAAUAUUAGCAUGCCCUUGUAUAAGGAUUAUGUGCAGAUUUGUGAAAUGUGCCAUAUUUUU
rnacentral:snRNA from 1 species